GGCUUUGGGUUGUAGACUGUACAUUAUGGCUAUCUAAGAUACAUGAGCAUUUGAAAUGUGAUAGGCGAGGGUUACUCUCCCAAAAUAGAUACCCAUAAUGUACAGUCUACAACCCAAAGCCUGGUCUCAGUACUACCAACUCCCCCAAUGGUAAUGACUCACCAAAUUAUACCAAUAAAAAUGGAGAAUUGUAAUAAUUUUAGAUAUUGAAAAGAGUCGCCAAACUCCCGUGAAGCAGUCAUCUGGAAGGCUAUAGAAUAAUCUGAUCUUUACAUUUUGCCUGGGGAAGAUCCAGGCAUUAAUGCACCAUUGAACAUCAAAAUACCGUUGCAUGUCAUUUUUGGUUUUUUGCUGCUGCAGCCUUUUGGAGUUUCUCUAAGACGGAAUCUUCAUAUGCUUUAUAACCAGUGCCAACCAAAUUAUUUAGGCGAGCAGAUUCAGCGGACUGCUGCACACUUGAAAGCUCUGUUGCAGUAGCUGGUUUAACAGGUACAAUUAGAAGAGGAUUAGAUAGAUUGCCAGAGACAGUUCCCAUAGCAGCAAUAGCUGCUUCUAUAGUUGCCAUUUGAACAAGUGCAGAGCGCUUUUUCUUAGAACUGCUGAUUACCACAUCUUCAACCUCACCAAACCUUGAAAACAACUCUUUCAACCUUUCUGAAGUAUAAUCCUCACCACCAUUGUCCCAAGAAACCUUAAGCAUCUUCUCCCUAUCUACAUUACUCGCACCCUCCUUCGUCACUCCUGCUGUCUCUUUCUUUAAAGCAGAUGCUGCAGGUGCUCUUUUAUUUGCAUGCAUUGCACGUAUUCUUGCUAUCUCUUCUUUAAGCUUCCUAGUGAUCCUAUCCUCUUCCUCCCGAGCCCUGGCAACAGGGUCUGGUGCAAAGGCAGCCCGCUCUCUUUCUUCAAGAUCAGAAACCAUCUUUUGCCUCUUUGCAUCCUUUUGAGAUGCGCGAACAUACCUCUCCCGCUUAACUCGGAGGAGAUCAUCAAAUAAUUUGCGUGCUUUCUCAUCCUUGAGAAUCUCAUAUGAAGACUUGAGCUUUUGAAAAUUGGCAUGGGCAUUUGGGUCAUCUGGUCUCUUAUCUGGGUGCAACUCUAAAGCCUUCAGCUUGUAUGCUUUUGAUAUUUCCUUUUCUGUAAGCUUAGCCCCCUCCUCCCCGGAAGGUAGCCCUAAAACAUUAUAAUGAUCAAUAUCGACAUCCAUAUUCUCUGCCACAAAAAUAUACCUGAAACAAAGAUUGCAGAAGUAGAUAUUCAACUUGUUUGAGCUACUAUAGAGCUCCAAUUGAGCCCCUGAUUACAGGAUUGAGAAACCGAGAGGCAGAAGGAGACGACAAAGAAACUAG
rnacentral:misc_RNA from 1 species